rnacentral:misc_RNA from 1 species
AAGUCGUAACAAGGUUUCCGUAGGUGGCACGUUUGCCUCCGGCGCCCAGCAGCGACUCUAAAAAAGUGCCCCGAGUCUCCCCCGGGCAGGGGAGGGCGACGCUGUCAUUCUGUACUGGGAGCCCCCCGGGGCAACCAGCGGCUCCCCAGGAGUCCACAGAUCAAACGACGGCGGCCCCGCGUUGCGCGGUGGUUCUGAUAUGAUCGGCCUCGGCUAUCGCUAGCUGUAGAAAUUGCGGAACCUGCGGAAGGAUCAUUAAUGAGAAACGGCUUCGCGGCCGUGGGGGCUUCGGCUCCCGACUCACACCCUUUGUUUAUAUACCUUUGUUGCUUUGGCGGGCCUUGGGGUUGUACCCAUGCUCUGGGAGGGGUGUUCCGGCGACGGACUCCCUACCCGCGAGCGUGUGCCCGUCGGAGGCCCUAUCAAUUCUGUUUAUCAGUGUCGCCCGAGUAAAAACCCAAAUAAUUAAA